rnacentral:rRNA from 1 species
UACAGAGGGGGCAAGCGUUGUUCGGAAUUACUGGGCGUAAAGGGCGCGUAGGCGGACAGUUUAGUCAGAGGUGAAAGCCCAGGGCUCAACCUUGGAAUUGCCUUUGAUACUGGCUGUCUUGAGUUCGGGAGAGGUGAGUGGAAUGCCGAGUGUAGAGGUGAAAUUCGUAGAUAUUCGCAAGAACACCAGUGGCGAAGGCGGCUCACUGGCCCGAUACUGACGCUGAGGCACGAAAGCGUGGGGAGCAAACAGG